ACGGUAACAUGUCUAGCUUGCUAGAAGAUGACGAGUGGCGGACGGGUGAGUAAUGCUUGGGAACUUGCCUUUGCGAGGGGGAUAACAGUUGGAAACGACUGCUAAUACCGCAUAAUGUCUUCGGACCAAACGGGGCUUCGGCUCCGGCGCAAAGAGAGGCCCAAGUGAGAUUAGCUAGUUGGUAAGGUAACGGCUUACCAAGGCGACGAUCUCUAGCUGUUCUGAGAGGAAGAUCAGCCACACUGGGACUGAGACACGGCCCAGACUCCUACGGGAGGCAGCAGUGGGGAAUAUUGCACAAUGGGGGAAACCCUGAUGCAGCCAUGCCGCGUGUGUGAAGAAGGCCUUCGGGUUGUAAAGCACUUUCAGUUGUGAGGAAAAGUUAGUAGUUAAUACCUGCUAGCCGUGACGUUAACAACAGAAGAAGCACCGGCUAACUCCGUGCCAGCAGCCGCGGUAAUACGGAGGGUGCGAGCGUUAAUCGGAAUUACUGGGCGUAAAGCGCACGCAGGCGGUUUGUUAAGCUAGAUGUGAAAGCCCCGGGCUCAACCUGGGAUGGUCAUUUAGAACUGGCAGACUAGAGUCUUGGAGAGGGGAGUGGAAUUCCAGGUGUAGCGGUGAAAUGCGUAGAUAUCUGGAGGAACAUCAGUGGCGAAGGCGACUCCCUGGCCAAAGACUGACGCUCAUGUGCGAAAGUGUGGGUAGCGAACAGGAUUAGAUACCCUGGUAGUCCACACCGUAAACGCUGUCUACUAGCUGUGUGUGCCUUUAAGACGUGCGUAGCGAAGCUAACGCGCUAA
rnacentral:rRNA from 1 species